GGAUGAAUAUUGGUCAAUGGACGUAAGUCUGAACCAGCCAAGUAGCGUGCAGGACGACGGCCCUAUGGGUUGUAAACUGCUUUAGUGCGGGAAUAAAGUCAGGGACGUGUCCCUGAUUGCAGGUACCGCAAGAAUAAGGACCGGCUAAUUCCGUGCCAGCAGCCGCGGUAAUACGGAAGGUCCGGGCGUUAUCCGGAUUUAUUGGGUUUAAAGGGAGCGUAGGCCGGAGAUUAAGCGUGUUGUGAAAUGUAGACGCUCAACGUCUGCACUGCAGCGCGAACUGGUUUCCUUGAGUACGCACAAAGUGGGCGGAAUUCGUGGUGUAGCGGUGAAAUGCUUAGAUAUCACGAAGAACUCCGAUUGCGAAGGCAGCUCACGGGAGCGCAACUG
rnacentral:rRNA from 1 species